UCCAAUACACCUUACAUAGCUGGGUACACAACAACCAGUGCUUCCCACAAAGCCAAUCAACCUAAUUACCUUGCAGGGUAUAGGACCAAAACCGAUGAUUCCAAUACACCCUACAUAGCUGGGUAUACAACAACUAAUGCCCAUGUGGCAAAUAAUCAACCUAAUUACAUUGCAGGGUAUAGGACUAGCACCACCCAAGAAUCCAAUACACCUUCUUACAUUGCAGGGUAUAGGACUAGCACCACCCAAGAAUCCAAUACACCUUCUUACAUUGCAGGGUAUAGGACUAGCACCACCCAAGAAUCCAAUACACCUUACAUUGCAGGGUAUAGGACUAGCACCACCCAAGAAUCCAAUACACCUUACAUUGCAGGGUAUAGGACUAGCACCACCCAAGAAUCCAAUACACCUUACAUUGCAGGGUAUAGGACUAGAACCACCCAUGAUCCUAAUGCACCUUACAUAGCUGGGUACACAACAACUAGUGCCAAGAAAGCUCCAAAAGGGUCAUCUCAUGAUGAUACCACUGGACCUUACAUAACCCAAUAUGGUGGACCCGGUCCCAAAAAU
rnacentral:lncRNA from 1 species